rnacentral:rRNA from 1 species
UACGUAGGGGGCAAGCGUUGUCCGGAUUUAUUGGGCGUAAAGAGCGUGUAGGCGGCUAUACAGGUCCGCUGUGAAAACUCGAGGCUCAACUUCGAGCUGUCGGUGGAAACUUUCUGGCUAGAGUCCGGAAGAGGAGAAUGGAAUUCCUGGUGUAGCGGUGAAAUGCGCAGAUAUCAGGAAGAACACCCGUGGCGAAGGCGGUUCUCUGGGACGGUACUGACGCUGAGACGCGAAAGCGUGGGGAGCGAACAGG